GAUGAACGCUGGCGGCGUGCCUAAUACAUGCAAGUCGAGCGAACAGACGCGGAGCUUGCUCCUCUGACGUUAGCGGCGGACGGGUGAGUAACACGUGGAUAACCCACCUAUAAGACUGGGAUAACUUCGGGACACCGGAGCAAAUACCGGAUAAUAUCUUGCACCGCAUGGUUCAAUAGAGAAAGACGGCUUUGCUGUCACUUAUAGAUGGAUCCGCGCCGCAUUGGCUAGUUGUUAAGGUACCGGCCUACCAAGGCGACGAUGCGUAGCCGACCUGAGAGGGUGAUGGGCCACACUGGAGGUGCGACCCGGUCCUGACGCCUGCGGGAGGCAGCAGUCGGGUAUCGGCCGCAAUGGGCGAAAGCCUGACGGAGCAGCGCGGCGCGAGAGACGAAGGUGUGCGGAUCGGAAUACUGGCUUUUUGGUGGAGAACAAAUGUCUCAGGAGCUAUGCAGGUCGUGACGGUACCUAGUAAGGAAGCCACGGCUAACUACGUG
rnacentral:rRNA from 1 species